rnacentral:rRNA from 1 species
GGGUUGUGAGGUUAAGCGACUAAGCGUACACGGUGGAUGCCCUGGCAGUCAGAGGCGAUGAAGGACGUGCUAAUCUGCGAUAAGCGUCGGUAAGGUGAUAUGAACCGUUAUAACCGGCGAUUUCCGAAUGGGGAAACCCAGUGUGAUUCGUUACACUAUCAUUAACUGAAUCCAUAGGUUAAUGAGGCGAACCGGGGGAACUGAAACAUCUAAGUACCCCGAGGAAAAGAAAUCAACCGAGAUUCCCCCAGUAGCGGCGAGCGAACGGGGAGCAGCCCAGAGCCUGAAUCAGUGUGUGUGUUAGUGGAAGCGUCUGGAAAGGCGUGCGAUACAGGGUGACAGCCCCGUACACAAAAAUGCACAUAUUGUGA